CAGUAGCGUAUAUUAACGUUGUUGCAGUUAAAAAGCUCGUAGUUGGAUUUCUGGCAUGGAGCGCCUGGCCCGCCGGCCUUUGUUGCCGCGUGAGUGCUAUGGGUUGCUCUUGCCAUCCUUUCCAGAGAGGCCGCCUGCCAUUCAUUUGGUCGGGUGUUUUGCCGAUCUGGAUCUUUUACUUUGAGUAAAUUAGAGUGUUUAAAGCAGGCAUUUUUGCUAUGAAUACAUUAGCAUGGAAUAAUAAGAUAGGACUUUGGUCUCUAUUUUGUUGGUUUCUAGGACUGAAGUAAUGAUUGAUAGGGACGGUUGGGGGUGCUAGUAUUGAGCGGCCAGAGGUGAAAUUCUUGGAUUCGCUCAAGACUAACUUAUGCGAAAGCAUUCACCAAGGACGUCUUCUUUA
rnacentral:rRNA from 1 species